rnacentral:misc_RNA from 1 species
GGAAGUAAAAGUCGUAAUAAGGUUUCCGUAGGUGAACCUGCGGAAGGAUCAUUCAUAAUAAGUGUUCUACUGCACUUUUUAAAAAUAGUACUCACCUUGUGUGCAAUGUUUGUUAGACUCUUUCGGGAGCCUGACAUUUAUACCAACCUUUUAUAUUUUGAACCACUUUGUCUGAAAAAUAUUAUGAAUACUUAAUUCUAAAUACAACUUUCAACAACGGAUCUCUUGGCUCUC